CCGAGUUCUCCCUUUCUCCUCCCUCUCUUUUUUAGCCCUUUCGGGUUGAUUCAAGAUCCUUGAUUGAUUUCUCCGCACGAAUUCAAUUUCCACGAGCCUUUCAGCCUCUAUCUUUCUAGCUCAGCAUGUUGGGUGUGUAUUUCUUAACCGGGUCGGUCAUCCUCUUCAAGUUAGGAGUCUUCAAACUGACUCUCAAAUCCAAUUCUCGAGAGGUAGGAAUCAAAGUCCGCAGGACAACUCGUGCGCUCAUCGCUUGUCUUAUCGUAGGUGCUUUCGUGUUACAGCUCCUAGAGGGUAUCAGCUCCAGGGAUUUCUUUUCUUUCUUCAUGGGCUGUGGAGAUAUUUCUCCCAAAACAGACAAGGGCAGGUGGUUUGCAAGCUUUUGGAUACUUGUCAGUGUAUCACUGCUUUCCAAGGCUGUUCGCCACAUGAUUGAGUUUGUACUCGUCAGUGUUUAAGAGACAAUAGGCGUUGAAGAGGUAUCUUGAAUAUCAAGAAGCUUGAGCAAACAGUACACUUGUAACUAGAUGACUGCCUUGACUACAAAAAUAGUUUUAACAGUGAAGAAUAUGUGCGGUAUGCGAAGUCAACAUAACCUGAUCUGUGAUCAUCAGACAAACCUCAAAGCUACUUGUUUCAUUCCAAGUCUUUUCUCAUCAUUUUUGUUUACUUUUCCUUGUUGGUUUUGCUGUAAGUUUCAUGUUUGGUCUCCUUUAGGUUGUGCUCCUGACCAAAGGGCCCUAUUUCC